rnacentral:rRNA from 1 species
GAGGUCCUUGGCUCAGGAUGAACGCUGGCGGCGUGCCUAAUACAUGCAAGUCGAACGCGAGCACUUGUGCUCGAGUGGCGAACGGGUGAGUAAUACAUAAGUAACCUGCCCUAGACAGGGGGAUAACUAUUGGAAACGAUAGCUAAGACCGCAUAGGUACGGACACUGCAUGGUGACCGUAUUAAAAGUGCCUCAAAGCACUGGUAGAGGAUGGACUUAUGGCGCAUUAG